GACCGGCGCACGGGUGCGUAACGCGUAUGCAACCUACCCAUAACAGGGGGAUAACACUGAGAAAUUGGUACUAAUACCCCAUAACAUCAGGACCGGCAUCGGUUUUGGUUGAAAACUCCGGUGGUUAUGGAUGGGCAUGCGUUGUAUUAGCUGGUUGGUGAGGUAACGGCUCACCAAGGCAACGAUACAUAGGGGGACUGAGAGGUUAACCCCCCACAUUGGUACUGAGACACGGACCAAACUCCUACGGGAGGCAGCAGUGAGGAAUAUUGGUCAAUGGACGCAAGUCUGAACCAGCCAUGCCGCGUGCAGGAAGACGGCUCUAUGAGUUGUAAACUGCUUUUGUACGAGAGUAAACGCUCUUACGUGUAAGAGCCUGAAAGUAUCGUACGAAUAAGGAUCGGCUAACUCCGUGCCAGCAGCCGCGGUAAUACGGAGGAUCCAAGCGUUAUCCGGAUUUAUUGGGUUUAAAGGGUGCGUAGGCGGUUUGAUAAGUUAGAGGUGAAAUACCGGUGCUUAACACCGGAACUGCCUCUAAUACUGUUGAACUAGAGAGUAGUUGCGGUAGGCGGAAUGUAUGGUGUAGCGGUGAAAUGCUUAGAGAUCAUACAGAACACCGAUUGCGAAGGCAGCUUACCAAACUAUAUCUGACGUUGAGGCACGAAAGCGUGGGGAGCAAACAGGAUUAGAUACCCUGGUAGUCCACGCAGUAAACGAUGAUAACUCGCUGUCGGCGAUACACAGUCGGCGGCUAAGCGAAAGCGAUAAGUUAUCCACCUGG
rnacentral:rRNA from 1 species